rnacentral:tRNA from 1 species
GCCCUGAUGGUCUAGCGGUAUGAUUCUCCCUUAGGGCUUCGCAGCUGGUAUGGGAGAGGUCCCAGGUUCGAAUCCUGGUUAGGGCC